UACGUAGGGGGCUAGCGUUGUCCGGAAUCAUUGGGCGUAAAGCGCGCGUAGGCGGCCCUGUAAGUCCGCUGUGAAAGUCGGGGGCUCAACCCUCGGAUGCCGGUGGAUACUGUCGGACUAGAGUACGGAAGAGGCGAGUGGAAUUCCUGGUGUAGCGGUGAAAUGCGCAGAUAUCAGGAGGAACACCGGUGGCGAAGGCGGGUCUCUGGGCCGUAACUGACGCUGAGGAGCGAAAGCGUGGGGAGCGAACAGG
rnacentral:rRNA from 1 species